rnacentral:rRNA from 1 species
UACGUAGGGUGCAAGCGUUGUCCGGAAUUAUUGGGCGUAAAGAGCUCGUAGGCGGUCUGUCGCGUCUGCUGUGAAAACUCAGGGCUUAACCCUGAGCUUGCAGUGGGUACGGGCAGACUAGAGUGCGGUAGGGGAGACUGGAAUUCCUGGUGUAGCGGUGAAAUGCGCAGAUAGUCAGGAGGAACACCGGUGGCGGAAGGCGGGUCUCUGGGCCGGUACUGACGCUGGAGGUGCGGAAAGCGUGGGGAGCAAACAG